UACGAAGGGGGCUAGCGUUGCUCGGAAUCACUGGGCGUAAAGCGCACGUAGGCGGCUUUCUAAGUCAGGGGUGAAAUCCUGGAGCUCAACUCAGGAAGUGCACUCGAAACUGGCAGGCUAGAGUACUGGAGAGGUUGGUGGAAUUCUCGGUUGUAGAGGUGAAAUUCGGUAGAUAUCGAGAGGAACACCGGUGGCGAAGGCGGCCAACUGGACGAGAUACUGACGUGAGACUCGAAAGCGUGGGGAGCAAACAGG
rnacentral:rRNA from 1 species